rnacentral:rRNA from 1 species
AUGUAUUCUCUUCAAGGAGAGGCUGUUGGGAGGAGAGGCUGUUUGUUCGAGAAGGAGAUGCCGCAGGAACAGUUGCAAAGGCGCGUGUGCUCUUUGAGGGCCAACAAAACUCGGUCUAUUGGCGUGGAUCCCUUUAUGUGCAUUGUCAAAAGUGAUUUUGUUAUGAGAAUAUCUUUGUCUGAAGAUAAGUACAGUGUGAUUAAGCCACCAAUGGAUAUUGGGUGGAGCAGUUAUCUAGGAUUAUCUGAAAAAGGUGUGUAUUGUGCAUCAUUUGUUGAGAAUACUCACAUUCGGGUUUACGCCCUCACUGAAUCGUGUGAUCAGUUUGAGUGGAUAUUAAAGAACGACUAUGACCUUAAGCCUGUGCAAAUGUUUGAUGGCCAAGUUAAUGGACCCUGGAUCUUAGAAGACAUUAACUAUGAAAAAUUUCGUUCUCAUCUACCAAAUAUCAACAAGGAAGAAGUAAUUCAAGAGAAAUUUGAGUGGAACUCUGAUGAUGACGAUUUCCAUGAGAACCUAGACAUUGUUGAAGUGCAACAUCGUCCAUAUUUUGAGAUUGAGGUACUUGGAUUUCACCCAUACAAAGAGAUUCUUUUUUUGAGUAGGUCAGAGGACUGUAAAUUGAAUGCAAUGGCGUUUGCCUAUCAUUUGAAUAGCUUCAAGGUUGAAAAUUUAGGUAGCAUAUACCCGACAGGUCAUGACUAUUUCAGCUGCAGCAUUCCUAAUGAAUCUCAUGAGAUUGAUUCUUUUCCAUACACACCAUGUUGGAUCGAAGAGACCCCAGAAAGAGUGAAUUAA